GGCGGGUCUCCUCGCAUUGUGCAGUGGUGAACCUGGUCAGGUCCGGAAGGAAGCAGCCACAACUACAACGUACAAGUGCCGAGGGUUAGGCUCGCCACC
rnacentral:SRP_RNA from 1 species